GGGCCGGUAGCUCAGUCGGUUAGAGCAGCGGACUCAUAAUCCGUCGGUCGUGGGUUCGAGUCCCACCCGGCCCA
rnacentral:tRNA from 1 species